UGGAUAUGAUGACAGCUGAGGUGUGGUGCUGGUGUGAGUGACAGCUGAAUAAUGUUUAGAAUAAUGUUUAAUGUGUAUUUUAGCUCUGUAUAGUGUGUGUGUGUGUGUGUGUGUGUGUGUGUGUGUGUGUGUGUGGUCAGUGCUGAUACAGGAGUGGCAUCUGAGGCGGCCGCUCACACCGAGGCUUCUCUGCGGUCUGGCUGAUGAUUAGAGCCUCAGUAUCAUCCUCACCCUCGGCCACCGGCGCCACAGUCUCAGCAGGGCACGUGAUCCGUCACAAACACCCUGCGAUCUGAUCCGA
rnacentral:snoRNA from 1 species